rnacentral:rRNA from 1 species
UCGGCCCCGCAAGGGACUGACUUAGUGGCGAACGGGUGAGUAACGCGUGAGCAACCUGCCCAUCACUUGGGGAUAACCUUGCGAAAGUAAGACUAAUACCCAAUGAUAUCUCUAGAAGACAUCUGAAGGAGAUUAAAGAUUUAUCGGUGAUGGAUGGGGAUGCGUCUGAUUAGCUUGUUGGCGGGGUAACGGCCCACCAAGGCGACGAUCAGUAGCCGGUCUGAGAGGAUGAACGGCCACACUGGAACUGAGACACGGUCCAGACUCC